GACGAACGCUGGCGGCGUGCCUAAUACAUGCAAGUAGAACGCUGAAGGAGGAGCUUGCUUCUCUGGAUGAGUUGCGAACGGGUGAGUAACGCGUAGGUAACCUGCCUUGUAGCGGGGGAUAACUAUUGGAAACGAUAGCUAAUACCGCAUAAUAGUAGAUGUUGCAUGACAUUUGCUUAAAAGGUGCAAUUGCAUCACUACCAGAUGGACCUGCGUUGUAUUAGCUAGUUGGUGGGGUAACGGCUCACCAAGGCGACGAUACAUAGCCGACUUGAGAGGGUGAGCGGCAAAACUGGGACUGAGAGACGGCCAAGACUCCUACGGGAGGCAGCAGGAGGGAAUCGUCGGCAAUGGACGGAAGGCGGAACGAGAAACGCCGCGGGAGUGAAGAAGGUUUUCGGAUCGUAAAGGUCAGUUGGAAGAGAAGAACGAGGGGGAGAGUGGAAAGUUCACACUGUGACGGUAUCUGACCAGAAAGGGACGGCUAACUACGUG
rnacentral:rRNA from 1 species